rnacentral:lncRNA from 1 species
AAAUAUUUUUUUAAUGGCUAGUCAUAUUUACUCCUUUUAUAUGAAUCAUUUAUAAUUCUACAUUUCUAUAUUAGUUUUUUUUAAUAGAUGCUUGUGUUUCUUGUAUUUCCUGAUAGAAAAUCCCUCAUUCAUGUAAUAAAAAUGGAUUAAAAUAUUACCUGAACAAAACUUGCAUGUUUUUUCUUUUACUUUAUAGAAAAGAACGCAUCUUACCUGCAAGUAAAAAUUGCUGUUGGUGCUAAGUAGUCCAUAGUUAAAGCUCUUUUGAUAUUUAACAGUAGCAGAGAGUGCUUGUGAUGGCAGCAAUUUUGAAUGUACCUACUUUUAUGGCACCUGCUUUCUUCAUUUUUAUAAGGUUUUAUAACAGUAAAACCUGGUCAGCAGAUGCAUGUGUUUACUAUGCAUGUUAAUGUAAAAUAGAGUUGGCCUUCAAUGGGAAUUCUGCUUCCUGCGGGUGUUUGUCGACUUUAUUAAACAAUGUCAAAGUGGUAGAACUGAGUAAUUUUACAUACCAUACUGAAAAUCUACUGAUGCUGACCUUGUUAUAUAGAAUCAGGGAUGUGCUUUUAGAAAAGCAUAAAAAUACUCGUGGUACAAAAUAAGAUCUGGUAAGGAAAGGAGUCUUUUAAGUACAGAAGGGGCAAAUGAAAUCGUCUGAGGUCAGUGUUGUGUGUUUGUAAAGUAGUAUCCAGUUGUUGUUUCUUUGCAGCUCUGGGUUGUAGAGGCGUAGGAGCGCUCAGGAGCUGCAGAGGACGGCGGAGGAAGCCGUGCUCACUCAGCAGUCACGGGCUGAGCACUCGGCAACGCCGCGGCCGCCUCGCACUGGGGACGCUCGGAGCAGGGGCAGCAAACUCCCUUCCUCCACGUGCACUACUGAUGCCCAAUGCAGCUUUCUAAGGAACUUGUAUUUUAAACUGAAGGGGUGCCUGCAGAAUUGCAUGGUGGGACAAUCAGAUGUAUGCUGUCUCUCAAAGUUCACUACUGAUGAUCAAGGUUUCAAUGUAUGCAGCUGACUUCCUGAGAAAGGCAUACAGUAGCAAGAAUACAUCCAAAGGUGACAAGGAACUAAGCUUGGAAUUGUCAUCCUUGCAGUGAAAAGCAUCUAUUCUCGGUAUGCAUUACUCCUAGCUAAAAUAAUGCUAUGUUUUUACUUUAAUUUUAUGUGCUGAUAGUGCGUAACUUCCCAGCUUCUUAAUUAAGGAAUAAAAUUUUAUUCCUUAAAUUUUAUUCCUAAAAU